rnacentral:lncRNA from 1 species
UAAACUAUGAGUAAUGCAAGUUUUCUACUUGAAUUAUUAAACAAAGAGUAGGUGCCCGGGUGUGGUUCCCUUCUUUUGUGUCGUCAUCCACGCGGUGCAACUCAUAAUAGUCAAACCAAUAAAUUUCAAAUAUUGAAUAGUUAGGAAAAACCCCUAUAAAUCUCCCACUUCAUUGCUUCAAUCAACUCAACCAAUUAAUCCAUCUCCACACAAACAUGAAGAAACUUCCCUUCUUUCUUCUCAUUUUGCUACUUAUAAUAAUUUGUGUUCACUCCCAACUAACCCCUCCUACCCCAGCCCCAGCCCCAACUCUUUGCAUGACACUUGAAUAUGGAAGGUGCAAAGAACCAAUUCCUGAAAAUAAAUUCCUGCUCCAUGGCCUUUGGCCAGCAGAUGAAAAUGGAAAUGUCAUGGGAGGCACCCCUAAACCACCUGACCAAAAAUGGGUAAAAAAUGAUUUAAAAUCAUUUUAAAAAUAAAAUGUGUAGUAAUUUUAAUAUAUAUAUAUAUAUAUAUAUAUAUAUUCGUAUACAUAGCGUUUAAGUUUUAUGCACUGACGAUAUUAUAUAAAACAAAAAUAUUCAUAUAAUGUUUUCUUGUAUACUGCAUCUAAAAAUAAAUUAAAAAUUAGCUAUAAAAUUCAUCGCUAGAUAGCUCGUGUCUAACAAGAUUUUUUGAUAGGCUUAAUAAAUAGAUAGUUAUAUAAACUUGUCUUUAAUUGACAACUAAUUAAACACUUCAACUUUGAAAAUGCACAUCUAGACAGCUUAACUCGUCUCCAUUGUAUCUGAUGUUGACAUGACAUAUAAAUUUUGAAGAUGUUUAGAUGAUCAUUUUGUAAGUACCAUGUUCAUUUGAAUGUUCAUCUGACACAAUGAGACGAGUUAAGUUAUCUAAAUUUGCAUUCAUAAAGAUAUAUUCCUUAUAUAAAGCUCAUUUAUUUUAAGUAUAGUUUUGGAACAUUGCAAAGUCCACUACGUACUAGCAAAUUAGUAGUGGUCUUUCCAUAUUUUUAGACACCUACUCCCUCCGUCCCUAUUUACUUGUCCAUAUUUCCUUUUUUAGUUGUCCCUAUUUAGUUGUCCAUUUUGACAAAUCAAGAAAGGACAACAAAUUUUUUCCUAUUAUACCCUUAUUUACACUUCUUGAAAAUUGUAAAAGUGUAUGUUGUUUCCCUCCAAUUUAUUUCACUUGAAUUCAAAUAAGUGGUUGUAAUUUUGAAGUGAAAAGUUGUCAUAAGGGUAAAAUUGUAACUUCACUGUGCUAAUCAUUGUUGCCUUAAUAUGUGUGCCAUUUCUAAAGUGGACAACUAAAAAGGGACGGAGGGAGUAACAUUUUUCAGUGAAAAAUCAAUGAUAUUUUAAUUAGCAGUAGUCUUUCUAUAUUUCUUAAACAUUAUACCCAGACAAAUUACAUCAGAUAUAAAUUGAGAAGGAGAGAAUAAUUGAUUUGCUUGUACUCAUUUCAUUAGGGGUGUACAUGGCCGGGUUGGUUCGGAUUUUUCAAAUAUCAGACCAAACUAUUUGUGUUGGAUUUUUAAAUUUAUAAACCAAACUAAACCAAUAAAACUCAGGUUUUUCAACUUCGGGUUUUUUCUGAUUUUUUUGGGUUUUUCGAAUUUUUGGAUUUUUUCGAUAAAGUAUUCAUACAAACAUAUAAUUUACUUGUACUUCAAAUAUUUCUUUAGUCCUACCAAAAUACAACUAUCUAAGGUGUUUCUUAAGAAAAUAACACAAAGUAUGAUAUGAUUAAUGACAUUAAAAUAUCCAACAAAAAUAAUAAUAAUGAAAUCGCGUAAAGCAAAUAUUGCAAAUUAAUAAGUCAUAAUGAAAAUGAUCAUAAUUUAAAAGUACUAAAUCAUGCUAAAAUAAGUUUAAUAAGCAUUCGUUACAUGCCUAAAUAUUAAAGGAAAUUAAAAUUA